AGAUCAGCCCUGGGGUUCAGAGGGAUCCUGACGGCUACUCCUCAAGAUCCUCUCUGUUGUGAUUCAUCCCCCCCGGGCCCUACAGUUUCUCCUUCCUGACUCUUACAUUUCUUUGGAUGGCAUCAUUAUUUACCUGUCUCCUCCCAUAGUUAGGUGCCAAGCACUGUGGAUUCUGCCCCUCAGUGUCCAGACACCCAUUUUCCUUCCCACUGUUCCUUCCCCAUGGAGAAGCCUGUGGCUGGCUGACAGCAGAGAGAGAUGCUCAACUUGGAGAAGGUGUUACCUGGGCCAGGUGGGGAAGGUUUGUUUGCAGAGCAAAGAAGUGAAGGAAGUAUUAACCCUUUGCAUGGCCUCCUGAGAAUCCGACAAGACGUAAAUAGCCAAGAAUAUCUGUGGAACUUAAUCACUGAGUUACAGUAUUUAUCACUCCUAUUCAACGUGAAAAAGAUGAGGAUGAAGACCUUUAUUAUGAUCCACUUCCAAGUAAUGAACACACUGGAGAAAGUCAGACAGUCAAAACAAUGUCCCAGACUCCGUGAAGUUCCUGGGUAGAGAAGGAGACAGACAUAUACCAUACCUAAUAAUUGGAUGUCCGAGAGAAUGAGAGAAUGGCAGAAAGAACUUUAGAGCAUGGGUAUGAUGGCUAGAGCUUGAGCAGCCAUUGUGGACAUCAGAU
rnacentral:antisense_RNA from 1 species